rnacentral:lncRNA from 1 species
CCGUCUUCCAUAUAUCUACUGACUUCAUAUAAAUGAAAGUGUACUAAGGACUCACUAAUCUGCACUACCAGUAACAAAGUAAUCCGACAAUCAGACUGGACCCGGUCAUGUUAGAAUCCAGAGGUAGGAAAUGAAAAUACAAUUGACUCCGCAUCGAUGCAUGACCUCGCCCGGAACGCGGCAAGAAAAAAACAAUGGAAGAAAAUAC